rnacentral:rRNA from 1 species
GUUGAACGCUGGCGGCAUGCCUAACACAUGCAAGUCGAACGGUCACACGAAACGCUUGCCUCCCUGAUGUUAGCGGCGCACGCGUGAGUAACAUGUGGAGAACCCUCCCUUAAGGCUGGGGAUACUUCGUGAAAACGUUGCCAAUUCCGGCAUAUCUUUGCAACCCCAUGGUUCAAGACCUUAAGGCCUCCUUCCUUCCACUUAUCGCUGGUUCCGCGCGGUAUUAGCUAGUUGGUAAGGUAACGGCUUACCAAGGCAACGAUGCAUAGCUGAGCUGAGAGGGUGAUCGGCCACACUGGAACUGAGACACGGUCCAGACUCCUACGGGAGGCAGCAGUAGGGAAUAUUGCACAAUGGGCGAAAGCCUGAUGGAGCAACGCCGCGUGUGUGAUGAAGGUCUUCGGAUCGUAAAGCACUGUUAGUGGGGAAGAACAGAUGAGAAAGUAAAUCUGCACAUCUUGACGGUACCGAAAGAGAAAGCCACGGCUAACUACGUG